UGGGGAAUAUUGCACAAUGGGCGAAAGCCUGAUGCAGCAACGCCGCGUGCGGGAUGACGGCCUUCGGGUUGUAAACCGCUUUCAGCAGGGACGAAGGUUUUCUGACGGUACCUGCAGAAGAAGCACCGGCUAACUACGUGCCAGCAGCCGCGGUGAUACGUAGGGUGCGAGCGUUGUCCGGAAUUAUUGGGCGUAAAGAGCUUGUAGGCGGUCCGUUGCGUCGGAAGUGAAAACUCAGGGCUUAACCCUGAGCCUGCUUUCGAUACGGGCGGACUUGAGGGAUGUAGGGGAGAACGGAAUUCCUGGUGGAGCGGUGAAUGCGCAGAUAUCAGGAGGAACACCAGUGGCGAAGGCGGUUCUCUGGACAUUUCCUGACGCUGAGAAGCGAAAGCGUGGGGAGCAAAUCAGGCUUAGAUACCCUGGUAGUCCACGCCGGUAAACGGUGGCACUAGGUGUGGGACCCAUUCCACGGGUUCCGUGCCGUAGCUAACGCAUUAAGUGCCCCGCCUGGGGUAGUCGGCCGCAAGGCUAAAACCGUCAAA
rnacentral:rRNA from 1 species